UCACUCAACCACCAAUAAUAUGUAUGUGUGUGUGUGUGUGUGUGUGUGUGUGUGUGUGUGUGUGUGUAUAUAUAUAUAUAUAUAUAUAUAUAAAAUUUCUGAACUAUAUAUAC
rnacentral:miRNA from 1 species